UCCAAAAAUUUGGUAUCAGAAUGAUACAGAGAAGAUUAGCAUGGCCCCUGCGCAAGGAUGACACACAAAUUCGUGAAGUGCUCCAUAUUUUU
rnacentral:snRNA from 1 species